UACAUAGGGUGCGAGCGUUAAUCGGAAUUACUGGGCGUAAAGCGUGCGCAGGCGGUUUUGUAAGCCAGAUGUGAAAUCCCCGGGCUUAACCUGGGAAUGGCAUUUGGGACUGCAAGGCUUGAGUGCGGCAGAGGAGACUGGAAUUCCUGGUGUAGCAGUGAAAUGCGUAGAUAUCAGGAGGAAUACCGAUGGCGAAGGCAGGUCUCUGGGCUGACACUGACGCUCAUGCACGAAAGCGUGGGGAGCAAACAGG
rnacentral:rRNA from 1 species